rnacentral:lncRNA from 1 species
CCCUGGAGGAUGUGACAGCUGCCAUUAUAUGUCCACCAUGCUGCCUGGGGACAGAGUGGGCAGCCCCAGAAACAGAGAGAAGUCUGGGGAGAAGAAUUCUAGGGAAACUGGAUCCAUUUCCAUAUGAAGAAAAGGAAGGCUUUCUGAGAGUCAGGGCCAUUCGGUGACAUGAGCAGGGAGCUUUCCAUCACUGGAGGUGUGCCAGGAGCCACUGAUGGCCUUUUGGACAAGAGGCCAAAGGGCAUAGGAGGUUGGACCAGAUGGCCUCUGCGAGUCUGUAGAGCACUGUGUUCUGAAAGUGUGUGACUCAAGGAUUCUGUAGCUGGAUUCCAUUUAAGCCCAUUUGUGGGCAAAGAUUCUAUGACUUGCUAUUCCUACCCAUCCAGACAAAUCCUGCCCUGGCUUCUCUAUGUGAGCCGUAUUGGCAAGGACCCCGUAUUGGCAAGUACAUUGCUCAGCCUAAGCAGAGGGGAACAAAGCCAUCGUGUUUGCAUGAAGCCCAUUCUAUGAACAGGCUCAGUCCCGCAGGCAGAGAGGCCCAGCUGUACUCCACUAAAGGGAAACGCAGAAUCCUGAUUCCACGCCGAGUUCACUCCCAAGUGACCAGAAGAUCCAUCUCUGUUUCCCCUGGACUCAGGCUAUUCAGGGACUGCCAGCUUCGGUAGACAGUGUUCUUCUGUUGCCUAAAGAAAAUUCAGCAACUGUUGUGAUGCAGCAAAUGCCCUGACGGAUGGAAUUCUCCACUCAUCCAAAAUAUAGGCAACCAAUGAAGGGUCUAGAUUUGCCUCACAAAUCUCAGAAUUGAUGGUCUUUGUUCCCAGGCUACAAGGGGCUGUAGAAAGAGGGAAAUUAAAGAUUUUUGUUCCAGAUGCUAUGAAGAAAACAAAAAAAGCAAAUGGUGUUGGGACAUAGAUAUAUCCAUUAGCAAAAAGGAAAAGAGAGAGAGAAAGAAAAGGAAGGGGGAAUGAGGAGGAGGAAGAUGAGAAGAAAGAGGAAGAAGUGGGGAAAAGAAGGUGAGAAGGAGGAGGAAAGAAAAGAAGGAGAUGAGGAAGAGGAGAAGGAAGAGGAACAAGGGGAGAGGUGGAGGGAGUAGUAGGACGAAGAGGAAAAGAAGCAGCGGCACCCUUGCCCGUGGUCCUUAUCUCACAACUCAUACAAGGUCCAAGUAAAAACUGAUCACUGACUGAAGUGGAAAGCCUAAAACUAUAAAAAUUCUAGAAUAAAACAAAGGAGAGAAAAUCUUAGUGACCUUGGGUUAGGCCAAGAUUUUUUAAACAGAAGAAAAAAUGAACAAAUUAUUAAAGAAGAC